CUAUCCACAUCAGCAUCUCUUCCCACAAUAAUCCACAUCAGCCUUUGACAGUUACAGUGUUUCUUCUUCCAAUUUUCUAUUUCCUUUAUUUCAUUCAAUCCAAUUUUAUCGUUCACAACCAUUCAUCAGCGGUUACAAUCACGAAACGUUUCAAUCUUCAUAUCCAACCAUCCUUUCUCAUCCUUUCUCUCAUCCUUUCUCUCUCGCACGGGUAACAAAAUUUCCCCAAAUUCUAACCCUUUUCUUCUUCAAUCGAUCCCUAUUGUGAUUUUGUUCUUCUUCUGCUUCUCUUCUCUGUAACAUUAAUUGUGGAAAUGGAAGAACGAAUUUGAUGGCUUCGAACCAUUGAACUAACAAUUACUUAAAGCCAUUUGGAAUCGAUGAAGAUUCUUCCAUCUGGUGCUGAUAAAAUUCCUCAUUUGAAUGUUGUAAUUCUCGGUGAAAAUAUUGCUAACGAAGAAGAAGAUUAUGUUCUUCCCAGCGAAGAAUUCGCUUCCAAAGCACAUGUUCGAUGACCGGAACAGUAUCUGCAGAUGUAUAAGAGAUCCAUUGAGGAUCCUGCUGAAUUUUGGUCUGAAAUUGCAUCUGAUUUGAAACUGAUACGAAAACUGAUAUGGAAACUGUACAACAAUUGGUGUUUCCGGUGUUGCGGAUCCGUCAACAAGCUUCCAUUUGCACCCUGAUCGAAGCAAUUAUUGGGUUUUGUUUGAAUUUUCAGAUAAGGAAGAUUGUUGCUGCAAGAAUUGGAGACUCGGAUAAUUGGUUUUGUUGAUAUGGGAUCAGGGAGUAUUGCUCUGAUGGUUGAGACAUUGAAAAUCAGGUUAGACAUUUAUAAAUGGUUCAUAUUUAGACAUUUAUACUCAUUUGGAAUGAUGUUUGUAUCGUAGUGUACUUUCUAUUGAGUUGGAGGACAUCUCGGGCAACGAUGGCAUCUAUAUUCAAUCUGAUGGAGAGCAUGUGGGAUUCCUUCUGAUGGCAUCUAUAAGGUGUGAAGGUGCAUGUGUAAAGUUAUAUAGAUUUGGUUUCUUCAUUUGUAGAGAAAUUGGUGAAAGAGCAAGCAUCGGUGAAGACUCAUCUUGAUAUUACGGGUUUGUAGGUACGGUUGAUGUGAGGAUGCUCCUCCUCAAUCGACUUCUGAACCUCUGCUUCUGAAUUGUGACGGUACCGACUAUUCCUCUCUAUUCUAUUGUUUAAAGGUAUUGUAUGUUGAUGACUAUUUUUUUAAAUGGCAGGGAUAUAAAUUUGUUGCCAGAUUAGAAAUUGUAGGAACUUCUCAAUUCAAAACUCUUAAACCUGAAAGGGUGAAGAAAUACUUCAUUCCCAUUAUGUGUUUAUUGUGUGCACCACUAUGUGUUUGUUCUGUGAGUGAACUUGCCUUAAUUAGAAGUGAGGCUGGAAAUGGAACCCUUUUCGCAGGUGUAGCAGAAGCUAAGUUUCUUUUAUCAUGAAUACUUGGAAGUGAAAUUAUGCAGCCACUUGACACGAUGAUAAGAAAGAUAGACUUGCAUAAUUAUGUAGAAUGAAGGAGAAAGUAUAUUGUUACAUACACAUUCACUUAGAAAGCAUCUCCUGUACCGAUGGUUGUGGCUUUUGAUAUGAUAUGUUUUGGAUGCAGGGCUGAUUGUAAUGGCUUUUUCCUGUCAAUGCAAGUGCAGGGGAGACAUUAAUUCUAAAGCUAUAAUGAUUGGAAUAGAACUUUAACCUUGGCGUGGAUUGGAAAUUUGCGAGAGGUUUAUGUGUUUUGUCUGCUGUCGGCUCUUGGAUGAAUUGUGUGAUCUUUCUUGGUGAUGACGGUUUCUACUUAUUGUGAAGGAAUGUGAGUUGGAUACCAAGGCAAAACACACUGAUGCACAACCAGCAGGUUACCAA